rnacentral:rRNA from 1 species
UACAGAGGGUGCGAGCGUUAAUCGGAAUUACUGGGCGUAAAGCGCACGUAGGCGGCUUGGUAUGUCGGGUGUGAAAUCCCCGGGCUCAACCUGGGAACUGCAUCCGAAACUGCCUUGCUCGAGUAUGGGAGAGGGAAGUGGAAUUUCCGGUGUAGCGGUGAAAUUCGUAGAUAUUCGGAAGAACACCAGUGGCGAAGGCGACUCACUGGACAUCUGUUGACGCUGAGGUGCGAAAGCGUGGGGAGCAAACAGG